rnacentral:tRNA from 1 species
GGGGAUGAGGCUUGGUGGUAGAGUGUUUGCAUUGCACCCAUGAAACCCUGGGUUGAAUUCCCAGCACCUCCC